UAUCCUCCUGGAGAAUGGACAGGUAUGCA
rnacentral:piRNA from 1 species